UGCUGCAAAACCAUAUCAGGGCUUUGAGACAGUAACUGCAGUUGUGUCAGUGUUUUUGUCAGGAUGGAAUUUUACAAGUAUAGUGACCAAAACUUCUCAAAAUCAAUCCGAUCUGAUGCCACUCCAUUAUCUUCCGUGUGUCAGGUCCCAUAUCUAUCACUGUGAUGAUAACAGGUUGAUUUGUGAUAAAAUAUCCCUUCUGAUUAGCAGAGGACACAUAGGAUUAAUGGACUUAGUAAGUCAGUGAGUGGGUAGGUAACUGUGCAAAAACUCCUGCACAUUCAGCUCUGAAAAUUUAAGUUCUGAUAGAUACAGGUUGGCAUCUUUUAGCAUGCAUAGUUACUUUUACAUAAAAUGAAGACAUUGCAGACCUUGCAGGGUGCCAAACUACUGUUGGUUAUUUAAUAUUUUGGGUUAAUCAUCUAUAAUGACUAAAAAUCAUCUUCACAAGUGAGAAAAACCAGCUUUCUGCCUGCUUCCUGAACACAUCAAAAAUGUGCAUGAAUCAUUCAAAUGAGUGUUUUGUUAUAUUGUUAUUAUUGUUUUUGUCUUUUUUCCUCACAUGACAUCUGCCAGGUUACAUAGAAAAGAGAGUGCAAACAACAACAACAAAAACUAUGGCAGCGUUCACUUUAUAAAAAUGGGCAAAUAAAUAAGUAAAUAAAUAAAACAAGUACAGCUUAGUAAGUUAAUAAGUUAAAAAGGUCUUUCUGUACAUGGUGGCAGGACAGUGUAUGUAAUAUGACCCGUGUGUGUUGUUUUUAGGGGCUGUCCCUAAGCAGGAACGUGGGACAUAAGUCACAUCCUCCCCAGAGGCUCGGUUCUUCAUGGUGUUCUGCUCCGACAACACAAACACUCUGACUUAGCAACACUGACGUAAGACAGCGCUCACAUCUGGCCUUUACAAUGUAAAUCUUAGAAACAUGCUGUAUAAAUCUGGUAAAUUCAAACAAUCUAAAAAACAAAAGGGAAAA